GGUUUUGUACUUUAUUUAGAAGAUUUGGUUUGCAACUAAGAAGAAGAUUUUAUAUCUCAAAACCACAUGUUCAAAAAGAGUUUGGAAGAACACUAACUUUGGGAGUUAGAGGAUAGUAUGUAUUACUAUUUUUGAAUUGUUUUUAAUUUCUUGGUUCUGUAUGUC
rnacentral:tRNA from 1 species